GCCUUGCUGACGAGUGCCAACUAGCACGAAACCUAGGUCCAAGGC
rfam:Trichobilharzia regenti genome assembly, scaffold: TRE_scaffold0104881